CGCCAAGUCCGGGCGCCCCGACUGGAAGAGGAGGCGAGAGCGAGAGCGGGCAGGAGGAGAAGGACAGGAGGAGGAGCUGGAGCGGGGGGCCGUCUGUUAAAUCGACCGGUUGUUCCAGCUCUGGCAAUUCGAAGCUCUUUAAUGUUGGCUCCUGGGUCCAAGAUCAGGAACUGGCUGUGCUAACAGCUCCUGGGAUGUCAUUACUUCUAGGCCAUCUCUGCCGACAAAGUCAGGACAGCGGGGUCUCCAUAAAUCCCACCCAGCAGGGUUCAUCAUUGCUGAGGACCAUUCACUGCUGUGUGUGUACCAUCCUUUUACGACUAGGAGAUGUUAUGGCAGCUAUCCUGUUCCGUCUCUACUAUUGCCUGAGAAAAUGAAAGGAAGAGAUGAGAGUGGAGCUGUAUUACAUGAAAGAGAAGACCAUAAACAAAGAACAGCAUAGAGGUUGAACAUGAACAGAGGGUGAGGGGAUUCAGCCUUGGUAAAGGAGAAGGAUCAGUGCAUUUGGAUGCAGAAGACUGACGGUCUGGACCAUGCAGGAAGUUGAACCGUUCACUUAA